CCUCCCUCCAUGCAGCCCCCUGCCCACACACACUUCUUGGGAAGCAGAUGUGAUGAGAAGUGCUGAAGCAACAUGAGAUAUGACGUUCUUGAAGAAUCUCUGAUCUGCUGAGCAACGUCCUGAGAGAUUUACAGCUCCAAAGGAUUUACCAUAAAUAAAUAAAACCUUUCAACACCUUAGAGCUCCUGGGAAACAAAAUCCCAAACAUUCUAAGUUUCGCUUAUCACUUCUUAUUGCCAGCGUUACCGGCGAGUUUGCUGACUGUUCGGUCCCGUUGUGCUGUCCACCUGCCUCUUGCAUUCUGUCUCAAGCAGCCACAGCAAUAUCCUGUCUCUUCUGCUACUUGUCCAUCCAAUAUAGCGGUGCAUGGGCUCACUGUGAAUCCUAAGCCAUGUGAUGCAUCUGGGUAUGCUGGCUUUACUGGAAGAUUCUUGGACAGUUACCGUAGUGGUAUGAUGUUUCCAGACAAGCACAUAUAUUGCAGAAAAUGCCAUUAUAAAGUGAGCUUCUCUGCUCUUUCAUCUUUCUGAAGCUACCAUUUUUUUCUGGAGCAGAGUCCUUUUUGUUACACUGAGUUUCAAAAGAGCUGGUCUUGCUUAUGCCUGAAUAUGGGUCAUUUUGUAUCUGACCGAGACCAUUUGGUACAGAGAGUAAAGUGAACAUGGCUGUCGCCAUGGGAAGAUCCAUCCUGACCUGCAGUUCUGCAGAGGUGGGACUCAGCUGUCCAGUUUUACAGUGCCUGAGGGGCUACACUGGACCUCACCCAGGUCGUUGGUUGCAGUUGUACAGGUCUUCAAGUCAUCAGCAAAAAUAUUUUCUUUCCUCACAAUACUAAGUUGUUUCUUGACUGUCUGGCUGCUUUCCCUGAAAAUUUGCAAUGAGUUUGUAAAAGAAGAAGACGGCAAUAUGAAAAUUACUUGGAGGGAUUGUUCUAGUAAUAGCUUGUAAUAUAUUUUAAUGAUUCUUUUCAUUUACUGAAUAACAUUUCAGGUAAAAUCUCAUUCCAGACACACACAGUUCUGCUAUUAAUGCCACAGCUGUGUUACAGCAACUUCUCAUAACAAGAUAUUAUUUUAUGAGAGUAGCUUCAUAAGAGAAGUUUCUUUUUCAUUUUCAGUUUGUUGAAUUAUAGCUGUUUCUGGAUCUGAUGGCUGAGAGAUGGGAGCCUUUUAUUUGGCUACAGUUUUAGAUAACUACAUUAUUUAUGAAAGUAAUCAUUUCUCCUUAUAAUGUAUCAGGAAAUAAUCUGCAUAAUCCCCAGCUUCUUGCAGAAAUCAAAACAUGAUUCAUUUCCUUUUCACAGGUUUUGAUGGUGUAAGAACAUAGGAAAGCAGCUUCUUCAAAACACAGCCUCUGAGGCCAGAGACAAACUUGACCUCUUCUCAAGUGCUUCUCCUUUGCUUGGAGAGGCUGAUCCACAGGGACUGAUGCCAAAGGAAGGUGCUCAGGGCCCAGGGCAAUUUUUCAAGGUGGAAUAGCUACACAGAAGGAGGAUCUUUUUAUAAGUAAAGAUACGUGCAUGAUUCUCCUGUCACUGCUCAACAACAUGCGAUUAUGUAUACUAUUUAAAGCUGCGUUAAAUGCAUAAAUGUGUGUAGUCUGUGACACUCAGCUCAACAGAUAUUAAAAGUUCCCAGCCUGUGGUAAUCAUUUAACUUGCUCUUUAAGAUAUUUGCAACUGCUUCACAUUUUCUACGCCUUUUUAGUGUGUGAGAUGAAAGCCGGAUUAUGGUGAUGGCUCAGAGAGCUACCCCUUCCCUUCCCUUCCUGCUUUUUUUGAAGAAAGAAGGACUGGUUAUUUUUAUUAUUAUUUUAUACCAACACCAAGUUGAAAACAUUUGUAGUUAUUUAAGUGCUUAAGGAGGAUCUGCUUCUUACCUUGGGGUAAGACAGUAAAUUCUUCCAUGUGUUGACUGCAUCAGUUAUCCCUACAUGCUUUUUACAUGCCUAAGGGGUAUUUAGUCAGACGGACUCUCUCUGUUCUAGAGAAAUCUCCAGCAAAGGUCAGCCAAACCAGCAGCACAUACUCAAGAACAAUGUGACGGGUGUGUAUGUGUGAACGGGAGGUCAGUGACAUGGUGCUGAGGGAAGAAGGGUUCUACAGACUGAGGAGCCUUCAGGGUUGCAUCUGCAUUUCCUCUCCUGAGAUUCAUCUUCCCCUCCAUGAACCAGGCAUCAAAUUCAGCUGGCAGGUAAACCUUGCUUCAAUAUCAGUAUGGACAUUUGAAAUUAAGAACCAGGCUUACAAAAGGACACACUGUCAACUUCAGUGAACUUACAAAGUGUUGCUACAAAAGACGUAGGAUCCACUUUUCAUAGGUGCUUUAUUCUUCAUGGAGGAUUAUUCACAUCUGUAAGGGCUCUGCCAAACACUGAAUCUUUCUGGUGCCAGUGCGGGUUUGUUACUUUUGUCACAGGCUCUUUGCAGGCUUGGAAGGACCAUGGUAUGCUGGCCCAUGUUGUCUUAUACAUGCCUAUCCACAUUUGCUUUUCUUCACUUCCUAAGGACAGUGAAAACACUGAGUUUUUCGGGAAGGCUCACAAGAACUUCUUGUUUCCGUUAAACCAUUUUGCUUAGCAUUAAUUGUAUUACACACCUCUAGUUCUUUGCUAAAUUAGUCCUCCAUUAGCUUUUACAUUAUUUUAUCCUUCCAGCUCAGGCUGAAAGGGCUGUAAUUGUCUGGGUUACACAUAUAACUUUAAAAAAAAAUUGCUGUGAUAUUGGCUUUUUCUUUGCUGUCCAUUGGAACUUCUCCAGUGUUCUCAGACUUACCAAAAAGGAAUAUUCAUAGUUUUGACAUUUCUUCAGCCAGCUUUUUAAAAGCUCUUGGUUGCAAAUUAUGCAGGCCUGCUGAUUUAAUUUGUUAUUUAACAUUCUCCUGAUUUACUGCUGGAAUGAACAACAUUGCAUUGUCUUCUUAUGACAGAACUGAUUUUUUUCUGAUUUUUCUUCAAACAGAGAUUGGAUUUAUUUACAGAACAUACAGAUUUUUGCAUAUAUAAUUGACGUGGCUACACUUCUGUGUAGUCAAGACCAAAAAUCUUUCUUGUUAUCCUUAACUCUGAUGAAAAAGCUUACUUUUUGCUUCCAUCCUUAUCAAUUUUCUGUAGUUCUUAUCUUCUGUCUAAUACUCAUGACUUCUAAUAAAUGCCUUUUUUUGCACAAUUAUUUUGAUUUACAUAGCUGUUUUCACUUCUAUGCAAGUCAACAUUUAGGCUAGCCCAGCUUUCAUUCUUUUUUUUAAACCUCUGGUAAAAUGUUUUUAAACACUUUCCAGUUAUUAUCCACAUUUCCUGUCUAAUUUCUUUCUCCCAACUGCUUUAGCUCAUAAUUGUUUUCAGCUUUGCAAAAUUGGCUCUUCCAAUCCGUCAAGUAUACAUAUUACUGGUCUGGACUUAAUUCUGAUUAUAUAUAACAAACAGAAGCAAAUCAUGAUCACUUUUAUCUAAGCUACUGCUGAUUUCUUUAGUGUAGUUCUAUGAUAUUUUAUUUUCAUCUGUAAGGAUAAAAUAAUGCAAUACAGCAUUCCAAAAGUGUUGGACGCAGCACUUUUUAAGGAGUUCAUCAUUUAUGGCAUAUUCAAAGGAUAUAUUAAUUUGGUGGCAUGAAAACUCCAAACCAUGCUGUUCAGAUUGAAGUGCUGACAUUGCAUGGUUUAUUUUCUUCUUGUUUUAUGGAUGCUUACUUAAGGAGAUAGUUUUCCUCUUCUUUUGGUAAUUACUUGCAGAAGGCAGUAAUAACAGAAAAAAAAGCAUACCUUUUUGUACCUCUUUUGUAACACACCAAUCUACAGAUUAAGAAUUACUUAACAUCUUUGAGUCUAUUGCCUAUUUUUGUCAUAUUCCUUUUACCUUAUUUUGAUGACAUAACAGAAUUUAGAAAGGACAGAACUGGCUUCCUACAGAAUCCUUCCCAAGGAAGAGGGAUGGGUUAGAAGUGGAAUAUGUUUAACAGCUCCACCCCAACUGUCAUUUUAAGAAGGGCAUAGUGCUUGUCUCAGCUUUUUAUACUUUCUUGAUGCUUUUCUCAAUAGAUUGCCAGAUGGUAAAGUGGAUUAGAGAGUCAGGCUUCGGUACAACAUGUAGCCUAGAAACCAGGAAACUGGCUCUUGAGUGGGAAACACUGCUAAUUUCAGUGGAUCUAGGAUCUGGCUCUGUAUUGUAAUUGUUAAUGGAGAGAGUUAGAAAUGACAGCCAGCUUUGUGCCCUGAGCUAGGGAAGAUGAUCUCAUUUUGAGUAUGUUAUUCUUCAUGUUUGUUUCCUACUAAGAAUUUUUUAGAGCACUUUGCAGCUACCUUAUUUAUGAUUCUGUUCAUCUUUGGUUUGUUGAUGUUAAACACUUAGGGUACACUUGUGUAUUUUUUAAUUUGAAACCCUAUUAUUUUUUUGUGAAGUUAUGAUUCCAUUUUCCAAAUUAGAUCAAUGUUCAACAGAAUUAGUCAAUUUACAUUGUCAAAAAUAUAUUGCAUUUCUCAUCGAAACCCUCCACUUUUCAUAAAAUGACCUUUUUGCUUUAGGACUAUCACUAUAAUUAAUAACAAUAAAAUAAUAUUUUUCUGUGGCCUCUAAAUGCUCAAGCAAAUGCAUCUAUUGGAAAAUAGAGAUUUUUGAAAUUACUUUUUUGAUGAAAAAUGUAGACUCACUAGUGCCAAAUGUUUCAUGAAUACAUGUCAGUCUUUGCCACAUUUUAUUUUUGUUGCUGUCAAAAAGCUGAAUAUAAACUGUUCUGAUCCUUCCCAAAUAACAGGUUUCUAUUUAUCUGUUUGAAGCAAGCUCUUCUCCCUGAAUUUUUUUUGUAUUACUUCUUCUAUCAGAAGACUAGUGUGCUUAACGAUGCAAACUUGAUUAACUAAUGAGAUGGUAACAUGUCACUUGCUUCCUUUCACAAGCAUCUAGCCAAAUGAGAACUGGGCAGACUGGUCAUGCUUCUCAUGGUCCCAAUGUUGUUAUGUCAGAGAGGCAUGGAGUGAUGGACCAGUGAUAGACGGAGAGAUUAGACAGAGAGGGUCAGAGCGGUGGGACAGCCACAUGUAACUUCUAGGCAAUUGGGCCUGAAAAGCUUUGAUGACCCUUGCUGUACCCAGUGGUGCUGUGCUCCAAAGGGAGGGUGAGAAUUUAACACACAGUGCCUUCCUGAUAUCAGAGGACUUCAAUAGGUUUUAAAAUCUAAGGUGAUAUCACUGUUAAGUGCUUCACUGUGAGAGGCUGCCCUCUGGGCUUAAAGAGGUUUGUAGGAAGUCCUGUGCUGUAACUGCUUGAGCAAGUAACUAUAUUUGUUCAUUGCAGUAUGGUGGUGUUUAAAUCGUGGUUUUACAUGUAGGACUUCCUCCAAUGAUGCAAAAAACCACGUUAAGUAGAGAUGACAGAGACUGCCAGUGGAUCAGGAAAGUUCAUGAUAUCAGUCUUUCUGUGGGACAGCUCGCUGAACACAGCCCUCUCCAGCUUUCACAUUCUUGUGGGAAAGAAAAACCUAUCAUUCAAAUUUUAGCAGAGCAGCCAAAAUGAAUUUCUGAGGAUUAUUUCCGGUUCAAAAUUUGCAUGAUCCUUCUCCUGUGAAUGUUAACCUAUCCCCCUGUACCAGUGCAACCUGUGGAAGGCAGGUGGGUUACAGAAAUGAAGCUCUGGAUUAAAGGUGGAUCACACUGGGAAUAAUGACAGAGUGUACUGGGAGGAGGCCACAAGCUCACUCCUCCUGCACUCAUCCAUCCCUCUGUAAGAGACGGAACACAUUCAUUGUCAGAAAAUAUGCUAAUGCAGUGUAGGGAAAGUUUAACUGGGUGUAUUGGGUCUGGCUGAGAUGGAGUUAAUUCUCCCCAUAGCAGCCCUCACAGUGCUGUGCUCUGUAUUGGUAGCCGGAAAGGUGUUGGUAACACACCCGUGUUUUGGCUACUGCUGAGCAGUGCUGGCACAGCAUCAAGUCUGUGUCUCCAACAUUCCCCCCUCACUAGUAGGCUGGGGGGUGGGCAAGAUCUUGGGAGGGGACAUAGCCAAGACAGCUGAUCCAAACUGACCAAAGGGUUAUUCCAUACCUUAUGACACCUGCACAGCAAUAAAAGCUAAGAGAAAGGAGGAGGAAAGGGGGGCAUUCGUUAUUACAACGUUUGUCUUCCAGAGCAACCACUACGUGUACUAAAGCCCUACUUCCUGGGAAGUGGCUGGACAUCACCUGCUGAUGGGAAGUAGAGAAUAAAUCUUUUGUUUUCCUUUGAUUCCACGUGCAGCCUUUGCUUUUGCUUUAUUAAACUGCCUUUAUCUUGA